AAACAAAUGGGAAUUUAUAAUAUAACAUACAAACAGAAGUCUGGAAGUAGUCGGUUGCUGGCAUUGGUUUAACUAUUUUGUCAGUGAACUUGCACAUUUUUAUUUCUGUCCAUUCCUCUGUUUUCUAGAUGGAUAACUCUGCUUCUCAAGUAGUUUCACAAAGAAUCAAGUCAUCCAUCCAUCUGGAGAAGUUUCCUCUGAGAAGCCCACAGUAUUCAUCCUUCCAUGCCCUGGCCGCCAUGUGCCCAGACGUCACUUGCAACUCUGAAUACCCUCAGUCACUGGAAAUGAUGACUUAUUUAAAACAUCCGGCUUCCAAGUCAAGUUCAAUCUCUGAGUGUUUAUGCAGUAACCACUGCUUGUUAGGCACAGGGGAAAUUCUCGAGCACCUCCCUCCAAUGCCUGUGAGUAAUUAGUCUCUGACACUUUCAAGUUCUAGGGGUAUGUUGCAGACUGGGUUUUCUGGAAGCAGAUGAUAAAACAGAAGUGGUGUGGGGCUAAUGUUAAUCAGGGGUUGGUGCCGCGAAAGGAGUGGGGUUGGGGGCAGAAUUGUACAGAGAAACAGGUCAAACUGUGAUGCAAGAGCCUUAGCCAGUCCAAACGGAGGAAUGCUAGUCAGAAUCCUCCCACGUUGAACCAACACGGUUGGAACUUCGCAUGCGUCCCUCAGCUCAGUCACCACCGCACGCUGCUCAGAGUAGCUGAUCUCUGCAGAGCAGCUCUGAAGGCGAUUACAGCUGAAGAGUGUCUGCUGACCACACCCUCUGCAGCUGGGCUAUUCCUUGUAAAGCACUGUCCCCAGGCUGGCACUUCAGCUUUGCCUUGAGUAGGGCAUCUCAAUGCUCUUUCAGGCUGGCACCUUCUGAGAGGAGCAACAUGUGGUGUGACCAGUGGAUUCCAUUCCCACACGCCUACAUUCAAACCCCCUUGCUGUAAAGUGAGCCCCCUGGCAACAUAGUGUGGGGUGCCAUGCUGGUGGACCCAAAGUCCUCAGAGAGCAAGUGCUGACAGAGGCCCUCCGGAAGGUAAGGAAAAUCCUGAAAGCACCUAAUACAUAUGUGUACCCUAAAGUGGACAAACUCUUGGCCCUUCCAGGAGAGAAG
rnacentral:lncRNA from 1 species